UGUGCACGCCUAAUCCGUCUGACGUGCUGCUGUGGGUGCCGCGCUGAGGCCGGCAGCAGUCACUCAGCUAACCCAAAGUGACACUGCCUGGCGGGCCAUUCAGUCUGUGCAAA
ensembl:misc_RNA